UUGCUGGGCAGUUUGCGAAUCGAGUGUUAAUGAAGGCUUGGACCCAUUUAAUACGAAGAACGGGCGAUUCCGAAAUGGCACACCAUGCUGGCUUGAAGAUAGCGGACACGAAAAAGGAGUCUGCUGUGGUGGAGAGUGUGUCAAAAACGGGACAGACAAUACCUGCAAGAGCAAGAUGUCCAAGUGUAGACUCGAUGAGUCAGUACGGAAGAAGGUAAAAGAGGAAACAAAGAGACGAAAAGCUGGAAAGAACGUGAAAACUAGCGUCUAAUGUUUCAGCCUUCGCCGCCAAGAACCAUUGCAAACAGUUGUAUGUAAAUAUGACAUUCUUCCCAUGAGAGAUUGUUCAAAUAAA